rnacentral:lncRNA from 1 species
CCAAGCAGCAGACCGGGAGAAAGAGAAGCAGAUUCCCCGCUUAGCAGAGAGCCCAACUCGGGGCUCGAUCCAGGGACCCUGGGACCACGGCCUGAACCAAAAGCAGACAUUUAACCAAGUCACCCAGGCAUCCCUGCAAACACCUCUUUUUAAUAAAUAGCCCUAAAUUCCAGAGGUCUGUCUUUUUUUUUUUUUUUUUAAGAUUUUAUUUAUUCAUGAGAGACAGAGCUAGAGACAGAGGCAGAGGGAGAAGCAGGCUCCAUGCACCGGGAACCCGAUGUGGGACUCAAUCCCGGGUCUCCGGGAUCGCGCCCUGGGCCAAAGGCAGGCGCCAAACCGCUGCGCCACCCAGGGAUCCCGUUACUUACUUUAAAAAAAAAAAAAAUUUUUUUUUUUUUUUAAGAUUUUAUUUAUUUGUUCAUGAGAGACACAGAGAAAGAGAGGCAGAGAUGUAGGCAGAGCGCACCAUUGGGGAUCCCAAUGCGGGAUUCCAUCCUGGGACCGCAAAAUCACUCCCUGAGCCAAAGACAGAUGCUCAACCACUGAGCCACCAGGGGUCCCUUAUUUAUUUAUUUUGAGAGAGAGCACAAACAGAAGGAGCAGCAGAGGGAGAGGGAGAAGUAGCCUCCCCACUGAGCAGGACUCGAUCCCAGGACCCUGAGAUCAUGACAUGAGUUGCAGGCAGAGACUCAGACACUCAGCCAACUGAGCCACCUAGGCACCUCCCCAGGCACAUUUAAAAAAAUACAGUUCUACAUUAUUGAGCUGAAAAAAGAAGAAACAUUACCUUUUGUCAACAGGGUAGUAACAUCUAGGAGAAAGGAAGACUUCCUUUUACUGGCCUCCACAUAUUUGAAGAGGGACUGGGAAUUGAUUUGGGAAUGGAUGAUGGACAGUUAGGUGUUAAAUGGGAGAGCUAAAUCUUACUUAGAUGGAAUUCCAAGGUUGGUAAAAAUUGAAGGCAUGUGCAGUAAGGACCUUACCAGGGAGAGUAGUGUGAAAUAGACAUAUCUUUUUAUGCCACUACUAUAAUACAGUUCAUUUAUAUUUAUAGCAAAGCUUUUUAAAAACAAUUUUAUAAUCUAAAUUUUUAAAUUAAAAAGUAAUUUUUAAAACCUUUCAUUCUGUGAGUUAAAAAAAAGUAAGAAAACUCAUUCAACCCAACAUUUAAUCAUGCAUCAGAUAAUUCAUAGGAGAGAGUAAUUUUCUGUCUUACUAAAUGUGAGUAGGGCUUCAUUUACAAAUCAUUACAUCAUUACAGAGAAUAGCAGAGAAUUCAUGCUGGAAAGAAAACUUAUGUAUACAAUAACUAAAAAAUCAUCCUUAAAGUGAAAAGUUAACUUUUUGAAGAGCAAAUUCCUAUAUGAGAGAAAUAACAGAUCAGAAGUUGAUUUUUCCUCAGAAACUCAUUUUAGAGAGAGAAACCUAUAAAAGCAAUUACUGGAGAACCACAUGGAAGUUACAAAAUCUCUGUUGCAAAUGUAUUUCAUGUGGAAAUAGCUUCAUUCAGAAAUCAAUUUUCAGUAUUUGCAUGAGUGAAAUUGUAUUUCCUGAAAAUGAUAAACACUUCUCUGAGUUUGAACAAGUUACUCCUUUGACAGAGUUGUUGUAUUUUAUUUCUUUAUUUUUUUAAGAGAGUUUUUGUUUUAUUUGAGAGAGAGCAGCAGAGGGAGAGGGAGAAGCAGGCUCCUCGCUAAGCAGGGAGCCUGAUGUAGGGCUCGAUCCCAGAGACCCUGGGAUCGUGACCUGUGCUGAAGGCAGAUGCUUAACCAGCUGAGCCAUCCAGGUGCCCCGAGUUGUAUUUUAAAAAGUCUUUGUGUACAGUUUAUAUCUUACCAGACAUCAUAAAAAUGGAGGAGAAUAACUUUUAUGAGGAUACAUCAUUUUCUUAAAAUGCCAUAAAAUUAAUAUCAGGAGGAAACUGGAAGAGCUUUUCCCAUAGAAGCAUUUUAUAAGGAAUAAAUUUCAUUUUGUUCAUUGGUUAAGUUUCAUGUCCAUGUCUUAAACCAGUUGGGAUAAUAGGCCAGCCCAAUAAUUGCCUUUCUUUUUUUUUUUUUCUUAACUUUUUAUUUAGGAAUGGUUUCAAACAUAUAGAACAGUGUUUCGAUAAUAGGAAGGGCAGAAAAAUUACAUAGUAACCCUUUACCCAAAUUCAUCUGUUAACAUUUUGCUCCAUUUGUUUAUCAGCAAUAUUGGCAAAAAGCAACCAGAUUCUAUGAGUAAGACAGCUAAUUUUCUAUUUUUUUUAAAGAUUUAUUUAUUCAUGAUAGACAGAGAGAGAGAGGCAGAGACACAGGAGGAGGGAGAAGCAGGCUUCAUGCCAGGAGCCCGACGCGGGACUCGAUCCAGGGCUCCAGGAUCGUGCCCUGGGCCAAAGGCAGGUGAUAAACUAACGAGCCACCCAGGGAUCCCCUAAUUUUCUAUUAUUUAGAAAAAUAUUACAAUUCAAGGGAAAUGAAAUUUGAAGGCUUCUACCUUUUCUUCCACCACUUUCAAGGCCUUUAUGCUGUCCUUAUUUCCCAAAAUGCAGAUGACAGUUUCAGCAUGGGACUGAAACACUGUAGCGGACUGAGGCCAGCAUGUGAAUGAGAUGAGAUGGGCUGUGCAUGGGUAAACAUGGCACUGCCAUAGCAGCAAGGUACAGGCUGAAAAGGCCUUUUCCCUCCCUUGUGAGGACUGGACCCCCAACAUGGUAGAAGUAACGUAGAGGUAGGAAAGGACAGUACCCAGGAUAGGAGCCCCCACCCAACAGAGGGCAGUGCCAACUCACUGACAGAAAUGCCCACAAAAACCUUUCUUUUAAUUAAAUAACAUUGAAACACACAUGUAAGUAUGACUUAUAUUUUAUCUCUUGAAUCCUGCACUUUGUCCAGUUAUAGCAACUCCAGGCACCAACAGUCUGUCACUAAAUAAGCAGUGGUAGUCAACUUCAUAGUUUUCUUUUUACUUAAUCAUUAAUAAUAUAUGUGCGCACAUGAGUGUGAUUUCAUUGUCUUAAGCUGGAGUUAUAUUACACGGUUUUGCAUCUUUUGCACUCAAGAAUAACUUAACUAGCUGAAAAAAAGUCUGUGGUGUGGACAGGUCAUAGUUUGUUCAGCCCUCUCUGCCACUGUUCACAUUUUUGUCAUUAGAGAAAAUGGUCCAUAACCACCCUCAAGAGGUGGGAUAGUGUAAUGGGCUAAUAGGCAGUCAUAACCAUGCCAUUACCUAUUGGAGCUUUUCCUCUUUCUGUAAGCUACUUCUGGCAGACUGAUGGAUUGAAUUGUGUUUUCUUAUUUUGAUAGAAAUUGUCAGAUGUCUAUGGAAUAAAUAAGAGUAGCAUUUCAUAUUUCCCAACAUCAGUAUAUAAAGCCACCCUUCCCCUCUACUAAAAACAAUGGUUACUCUAACUCUGAGAAGUUUUCUGAUUUCAAAGUGAUAACUUACUUUAAUUUACAUACUAAUAUACCUCUUUAAAUGUUUCUUGGCCAUUUAAUUAGCUAAGUUGCCUUUAUAAACGUUAUAAACCAUCUUUCUUUUUGGAUUGUUGUCAAUUUGCGACAGGUUUAUUUUUUUAUGCUAAAGGUAAUAAGUCCUUUAAGAAAACUAUUGCUUGACUCUUAACUUUGUAUAUAUUUUCCCAUUCACAUAAUUUUAUUUUUUACAUGUUUAAAUGUGUUUUUUUUUUUUACAGUUUCUGAAUUUCUAGUUUGAGUUAACCUCAUGGAAUAACAUUUUUAAAUGUCUUUUUUGGUGUAUGUUGUAUAUCUUUUGGGAAAGUAAUUUUUUUUUUCCCUUGGGCAUGGAUAGCCACUUUCACAAUUGUAGACAUGUUGGUUUACAGAGCAAGUCCAGUGCUUCUCCCUCACUACUUUGUUAGCAUCUUUUGAAGUUGGUAGUGGCCAGGUGACUGACUCAGGUCAGGACAAUCAAAACACUGGUAGAUGCAUUCUGGGAAAACCUUUGCUUUCCUAAGAAAAGGGGUAGUUUUAACUGAUGCUAUCAAUUUACCCUUCUUCCUGCCUUGCACAUGAUGCCUGGGAGAGUGGGAACCUUCUCAACUGUAGGAGAAAGAAACACUGGUCAUGACAGUAUUUAGUCAACACUAAUAGCAAGUUACCUCCAGACUUUUGCUUGGUGAUCGAAAUAAAAGGUUUUGUAUAAGCCAUUGUAUUCUAAGUUUAUCUUGUAUCUGAAAGCAUGCCUAAAUUUAUUCAGGCAUCAAGAUGUGUAAAGUAAUCCAUCUUUUUUUCCCCAAAUUUUUAUUUAUAGUUCGUUAACAUAUAAUGCAAUAUUGGUUUCAGGGGUAGAAUUUAGUGAUUCAUCACUUAUACACCCAGUGCUCAACAGAACAAGUGCCCUCCUUAAUGCCCAUCACCCAUUUAUCCCAUCCUCUACCCACAUCCCUCCUCAACUCUCAAUUUGUUCUAUAGUUAAGAGUCUUUUAUAGUUCACUUCUGUCUCUUUUCUUCCCUUAUGUUCAUCUGUUUUGUUUCUUAAAUUCCAUAUGUGAGUGAAAUCAUAUAUUUGUCGUUCUCUGUAAAGUAAUCCAUCUUUUCUCUUUUACAGUAGAAAAAUAUUUAAAAACCCCAGUAGAUACUCCACAUGAACUUAAAGUAAGGUAGAGAGAUAGAAAAUUUACAUAAGAUUUGUAAUGAGUAAGAAGAACCACAAGUGAUAUUGGAUCAAUUAAUAGGAUCAAAAAGAAUACUACCUAGAAUGAAUGAUUUUACGGCAAGACAGAGUUGACCAAAAUUGAAUAGGAAAUUAAAAAGAUUGAUAGCUAUAAGAUAAAUUGUAAAUAUCAUUACAGAGCAAUCAUUUAAAAUGUACCAGAACCAU